GAGAAUAGACUUUAAAAUACUUCUGUUAGUCUAUAAAUCCCUGAAUGGCUUAGCACCUAAAUACAUCACAGACUUAUUAUCAGUGUGUAGCCGGGGCACUAUGGCCCUGAAGCAAGGUGCUGCACACCCUUCCUCCUGCCCAUAUUGGGAGGACGCUGUGAUCAGGUGCAGCUGGGGGUAAUCAAGCCCUUCUGGUUAAAAGGGGGCAGAUAGCUGAGGAAAGGACAUUCGAGGCUGGGGAUUCCUUAGAGGCUGACCUGCUACUGUUUCAGUUGUGUUUUUAUUUACUGUUUUAAUCACUGCUUAGACCCUAUUUUAGCUAUUUAUUCCUAGUUUUAACCAAAUGCAGGGGAGAGUUUUUAUUGUUUAGCUCCCCGGGUUGGUUUUAUCUCACCUGAGGUCCUCUGCUGUCCCUGGGUCCUGUGUCGGUUUUAUUUAGAUUGGAUUGAGGGGACUAGUGGGAGGAGAGUUCUUUUCUUUUGUGUUGUAUGCACUAGGGUUUGUGGCGUGAGUGUGUUUUUGUUGGGAGACACCAAGGUGUAUUUCGUUUGUUUUCUUUAGUAGUUCUCCUCCAAAUGGUCUAGUUAAUUCAAUUGGGGUUUUUAACUAUUAGCUAUCAGGUUUCCAGGCCAGCAUAGGUGCCUGUGUUAAGGUGGUUAUUCUUCCCUGAACGGUAAAACAUGUUAAUUGUUUUGUAAAUCCAAUAAACUAUAUUCAAUUUGAA